UACGUAGGGUGCGAGCGUUAAUCGGAAUUACUGGGCGUAAAGCGCACGUAGGCGGAUUGUUAAGUCAGGGGUGAAAUCCUGGAGCUCAACUCCAGAACUGCCUUUGAUACUGGCGAUCUCGAGUCCGGGAGAGGUGAGUGGAACUCCGAGUGUAGAGGUGAAAUUCGUAGAUAUUCGCAAGAACACCAGUGGCGAAGGCGGACUCACUGGACAAUUGCUGACGCUCAGGCACGAAAGCGUGGGGAGCAAACAGGG
rnacentral:rRNA from 1 species